rnacentral:rRNA from 1 species
CCAGCACCCCGAGUGGUCGGGACGAUUAUUGGGCCUAAAGCAUCCGUAGCCGGUUUUACAAGUCCUCCGUUAAAUCCAGCUGCUUAACAGAUGGGCUGCGGAGGAUACUAUAAGACUAGGAGGCAGGAGAGGCAAGCGGUACUCAGUGGGUAGGGGUAAAAUCCGUUGAUCCAUUGAAGACCACCAGUGGCGAAGGCGGCUUGCCAGAAUGCGCUCGACGGUGAGGGAUGAAAGUUGGGGGAGCAAACCGGAUUAGAUACCCGGGUAGUCCCAGCUGUAAACGAUGCAGACUCGGUGAUGGACUAGCUUUAUGCUAGUCCAGUGCCGCAGGGAAGCCGUUAAGUCUGCCGCCUGGGUAGUACGGUCGCAAGACUG